UGGCAGUGAUGACUAUCUUAGGACACCUUUGGAAUAACCAUGAAAAAAACCAAACAAUCUUUUUCUGAGCCAU